rnacentral:rRNA from 1 species
UAGGAAGGCAGCAGUGGGGAAUAUUGCACAAUGGGCGAAAGCCUGAUGCAGCUAUGCCGCGUGUAUGAAGAAGGCCUUAGGGUUGUAAAGUACUUUCAUCGGGGAGGAAAAAACAAAAACUAAUAAUUUUAUUUUCUUUGACGUUACCCGAAAAAGAAGCACCGGCUAACUCCGUGCCAGCAGCCGCGGUAAUACGGAGGGUGCUAGCGUUAAUCAGAAUUACUGGGCGUAAAGAGCACGUAGGUGGUUUUUUUUAAGUUCAGAUGUGAAAUCCCUGGGCUUAACCUAGGAACUGCAUUUUGAAACUGAAAUACUAGAGUAUCGUAGAGGGAGGUAGAAUUCUAGGUGUAGCGGUGAAAUGCGUAGAUAUCUGGAGGAAUACCUGUGGCGAAAGCAGCCUCCUAAACGAAUACUGACACUGAGGUGCGAAAGCGUGGGGAGCAAACAGGGAUUAGGAUACC